rnacentral:rRNA from 2 species
AAUUCGAAGCAACGCGAAGAACCUUACCAGGUCUUGACAUCCUCUGACAACUCUAGAGAUAGAGCGUUCCCCUUCGGGGGACAGAGUGACAGGUGGUGCAUGGUUGUCGUCAGCUCGUGUCGUGAGAUGUUGGGUUAAGUCCCGCAACGAGCGCAACCCUUGAUCUUAGUUGCCAGCAUUUAGUUGGGCACUCUAAGGUGACUGCCGGUGACAAACCGGAGGAAGGUGGGGAUGACGUCAAAUCAUCAUGCCCCUUAUGACCUGGGCUACACACGUGCUACAAUGGAUGGUACAAAGGGCUGCAAGACCGCGAGGUCAAGCCAAUCCCAUAAAACCAUUCUCAGUUCGGAUUGUAGGCUGCAACUCGCCUACAUGAAGCUGGAAUCGCUAGUAAUCGCGGAUCAGCAUGCCGCGGUGAAUACGUUCCCGGGCCUUGUACACACCGCCCGUCACACCACGAGAGUUUGUAACACCCGAAGUCGGUGGAGUA